UGGAGGCAUGAGAAGGUGGUGCAGUUUGCCCAUGCUGCUUCUUACUGGUAUUAUCCUCCUACAGUAACAAUGCUGGUGCUUGUUGUUCUCAUCGGUUGGGAAAAUAAUCUGCAUUUUGCAUUAACAAUUG